UUUUGCCAGUCAGCUACUUACCUAAUAACUAAUUGAUCCCCCAUAACUAACUUAGUUACUAAGUUAAUCCUUGUCGGAGGCUCCUUUAACACAAUGGCAAAGGAAGAAAAGAAACGAUCGACCGGACCCGAUGGUUAACAAGUUAGUCUAGUCCGCGGUGAAGUCACUGAAAAAGGCCACAGUUCUAGCCCGAUUCUGAACCUCAGUCAGCAAGAUACGAUACCUGCUUACACUCUGGACUGACCAGACUUCCGAUUGCGUUACUGUGCAGUGCAUACGUACUACGUAGUAUGUAGUACAUACAUACUUACUCUGUACAAGCUUGAAAUGAUUGGCAUGCAUUGUCUCAUCAUACAAUGGCGGACCAUCAUCCCCCUGGCCAGAUCUUUUGCUCCCAAAUUAACCAAAGUCAUCCAGAAUAGUCAGUUUAGCUUUUAGUGGCUUUCUGGGGCAAAACUCAAAAUAUUUUUGACUUUCCUGAACACUUGAGAAUUAGUCUUUACGGCAGAGCCACAUGUAGUCUAGCAUGGUAUUAUUUCUGGUCCUUUACUGACACUGUCAAUCCUGGAUAUUAUGUACUCUGUAAUACCUACACAAAUGGCUUGACAAGUCGUGUGGGUUCUGAAGAGCUUACUUAUUUACUCCGUAAUUCGUACUCCGAGGAUCUGUAUCAUAGCCGUUUUUAUUUUUCUCUUCCGUUCGUUUUAGAUUUCUAGGUUGUGGCCUUUGCUUUUUUGCUAAUGGUGGAUCCCCUCAUUUCAGGGUCAACAAAGUUUGGACUAUGAUAGGGGAGAUGGGCAUGAUGAGGGAGAAUUGAAAGUGAAACCCAAACCUGUCAUCUCACUGGCAGUUUCAUGUAGUACGUACGUCCUUGACUUCGCUGUUGAGACGAAAGUCUCUUAAAAUAACUUGAUAAGUGCGGUCGAGCCUUAUACGUGUGGCUACCAAAGCCUCUCAAUCUAUCGCUCGAUACCAAACGGCGUGAGCUUGUCGAAUGCGAUGUGAUGUGAUACAGACAUUCACGUUCGGUUUUUUGAGAGAGUCGAUGCAGAAGCUUAGAAGGAACAAGGAUAAUAGAGUUUACCAAUGAAAGUGGCAGAAUUUUAAAGCUUCGUGUUGGUUCAACCUGGUUGAGCUUCCAACUAUGGGUAACUUUUUGUUUUUCUCAAAGCUCCCACCAAGCUCCGCUCUCCAGUUCCAAGCAUAGUUAGUGGACGCGGGAAUAACCUCAGUGCACCAAAGACAAUUCCGACAAUCACCUUCACAUACACCGAAACCUCGUUUCAGAACCAUAUUUCUUUUCUGCCCAAAUCUAGCCCCUGGCAUGAGUCCCAGCUUUCCUCCAUUUCUUCGGCAUUCAAGUACUUACUCGUAGGACUGCUGUUUGAUAUUCUCCCCAUUCUAUCAAGUCGGACCGACCCGACAGAUUGGCAACUGCCAAGCGCCAAGUCUCAUGAUUAAGUUUGUAGCACCUGUUGGCAUCGAAUAUUCCUCCGAGUCCCGAGUUGUCAGUGUGGUAUGACUCUAGCGAGGAACAAGUCUGUAGAUUCUUGUCCAA
rnacentral:lncRNA from 1 species